rnacentral:rRNA from 1 species
UAAGGAAUAUUGGUCAAUGGACGGAAGUCUGAACCAGCCAUGCCGCGUGCAGGAGGACGGCCCUAUGGGUUGUAAACUGCUUUUAUACGGGAACAAACGUCGGUACGUGUACCGGUCUGAGUGUACCGUAAGAAUAAGGAUCGGCUAACUCCGUGCCAGCAGCCGCGGUAAUACGGAGGAUCCGAGCGUUAUCCGGAAUUAUUGGGUUUAAAGGGUGCGUAGGCGGCCAGAUAAGUCAGGGGUGAAAGUCGGCAGCUCAACUGUCGCAGUGCCUUUGAUACUGUUUGGCUUGAAUUCGGUUGAAGAUGGCGGAAUGAGACAAGUAGCGGUGAAAUGCAUAGAUAUGUCUCAGAACACCGAUUGCGAAGGCAGCUAUCUAAGCCGUUAUUGACGCUGAUGCACGAAAGCGUGGGUAGCAAACAGGAUUAGAUACCCUGGUAGUCCACGCCCUAAACGAUGAUAACUCGAUGUUGGCGAUAUACAGUCAGCGUCUUAGCGAAAGCGUUAAGUUAUCCACCUGGGGAGUACGCCGGCAACGGUGAAACUCAAAGGAAUUGACGGAGACGUCUACU